rnacentral:rRNA from 1 species
UACGUAGGGGGCAAGCGUUGUCCGGAAUUAUUGGGCGUAAAGCGCGUGUAGGCGGUUCGAUAAGUCUGCUGUGAAAGUCCAGGGCUCAACCCUGGAAAGCCGGUGGAUACUGUCGGACUAGAGUGCGGAAGAGGCGAGUGGAAUUCCCGGUGUAGCGGUGAAAUGCGCAGAUAUCGGGAGGAACACCAAUUGCGAAGGCAGCUCGCUGGGACGUUACUGACGCUGAGACGCGAAAGCGUGGGGAGCAAACAGG